GACGAACGCUGGCGGCGUGCUUAACACAUGCAAGUCGAACGGAAAGGCCCCUUCGGGGGUACUCGAGUGGCGAACGGGUGAGUAACACGUGAGUAACCUGCCCUUGACUUCGGGAUAACUUCAUGAAACUGGGGCUAAUACCGGAUAGGAAUCCUUGCUUCAUGGUGGGGGUUGGAAAGCUUCGGGGGGUUUGGAUGGACUCGCGGCUUAUCAGCUUGUUGGUGGGGUAGUGGCUUACCAAGGCUUUGACGGGUAGCCGGCCUGAGAGGGCGACCGGCCAAAUUGGGACUGAGAUACGGGCCAGAAUCCUACGGGGGGGAGCAGUGGGGAAUAUUGCACAAUGGGGGGAAGGCUGAUGCAGCAAAGCCGCGUGGGGGAUGACGGCCUUCGGGUUGUAAACCGCUUUCAGCAGGGGAGAAGCUUGUGGUGACGGUACCUGCAGAAGAAGCACCGGCUAACUACGUG
rnacentral:rRNA from 1 species